rnacentral:rRNA from 1 species
UAGUUGGUGUGGUAACGGCGCACCAAGCCGACGACGGGUAGGGGACCUGAGAGGGUGAUCCCCCACACUGGGACUGAGACACGGCCCAGACUCCUACGGGAGGCAGCAGUGAGGAAUAUUGCCCAAUGGACGAAAGUCUGAGGCAGCGACGCCGCGUGGGUGAAGAAGGCCUUCGGGUCGUAAAGCCCUUUUCUAGGUGACGAGAACGGACGGUAGCCUAGGAAUAAGUCUCGGCUAACUACGUGCCAGCAGCCGCGGUAAAACGUAGGAGGCAAGCGUUAUCCGGAGUUACUGGGCGUAAAGCGUGCGCAGGCGGAUCUGUAAGUGAGUUGUGAAAGCCUCCGGCUAAACUGGGGGAGGACAAAUCAGACUGCGGGUCUAGAGUCAGAUAGAGGGACGUGGAAUUCCGGGUGUAGCGGUGAAAUGUGUAGAGAUCCGGAGGAACACCAGUGGCGCAAGCGGCGUCCUGGGUCUGAACUGACGCUGAGGCACGAAAGCGUGGGGAGCGGACGGGAUUAGAGACCCCGGUAGUCCACGCUGUAAACGAUGUCAACUAGAUGUCCACCGGGCUACGGUCUGGGGGGUGUCGAAGCUAACGCGCUAAGUUGACCGCCUGGGGAGUACGGUCGCAAGGCUAAAACUCAAAGGAAUUGACGGGGGCCCGCACAAGCAGCGGAGCGUGUGGUUUAAUUCGAGGCUACACGAAGAACCUUACCUAGGUUUGACAUGGGCGUAGUAGGGAACCGAAAGGGGACCGACCUUCGGGAGCGUCCACAGGUGCUGCAUGGCUGUCGUCAGCUCGUGUCGCGAGAUGUUCGGUUAAGUCCGAAAACGAGCGCAACCCUCGGGUCUAGUUACAAGUGUCUAGACCGACUGCCCG